rnacentral:misc_RNA from 1 species
UGGGGGUUUUUUGCUGGCCUUUUCUGAAGGUCCAGCUCCCCUGAAAUGUAUUAGCGGAACAAUUUGUUGACUGUUCAUUGGUGUGAUAAUUAUCUGCGCUAUUGAACUGUGAGGCAAGUUCAGCUUCUAAUGGUCCAUUGAUUUGGACAAUUUUUAUUUAAUGUGACCUCAAAUCAGGUAGGACUACCCGCUGAACUUAA